rnacentral:rRNA from 1 species
UACGUAUGGUGCGAGCGUUGCCCGGAUUUAUUGGGCGUAAAGGGCGCGUAGGCGGCUCGGCACGUCCGUUGUGAAAUCGCUCGGCUCAACUGGGCGAGGUCAGCGGAUACGGUCGAGCUUGAGCCAGCUAGGGGGCAAUGGAAUUCCCGGUGUAGUGGUGGAAUGCGUAGAGAUCGGGAAGAACAUCAGUGGCGAAGGCGGUCUGCUGGGCCGUUGCUGACGCUGAUGCGCGACAGCGUGGGGAGCAAACAGG